UGUUUUUCACUUUUAACAAACCCCUAAAAAAUACUUCUAUUUUUUUUCCCUUCUAAAGCCAGUGAAGGAGGUUGUACGUUCUCGCACCCCUAUGAAAGAGGCAACAACUGUGGAGAUCUGGACUCAUCCCCAACCACAGCGGAAAUCCGAGGGAAAAAAGUCAGGAAAGAAAUUUGUGUAGAAACAAGCUGGAACUCCAGGGUCCAGGACAGAAAAUACUAUCUCUUCACGUCUGGGAUUGCAUUUCAAAUUUAAUCUGAAGGACCUGAUGAGAUAUGCCAAACUGCCUGAAAACAAUUUGGGUAGCUAGUCAACUGUGGGAUCUGGAGGCCCAUAGACACUAAAAGCACUUUUCUUUGCUUUUUUCCCUCUGCUUUCUCACUCCAAAUAACUGCAGACUGAGUACAUGCAAUCUAUACUGACACUGCAAUGACGACACAAGUACAGC
rnacentral:lncRNA from 1 species